UGGGGAAUAUUGCACAAUGGGCGCAAGCCUGAUGCAGCAACGCCGCGUGAGGGAUGACGGCCUUCGGGUUGUAAACCUCUUUUAGCAGGGAAGAAGCGAAAGUGACGGUACCUGCAGAAAAAGCACCGGCUAACUACGUGCCAGCAGCCGCGGUAAUACGUAGGGUGCAAGCGUUGUCCGGAAUUAUUGGGCGUAAAAGAGCUCGUAGGCGGUCUGUCGCGUCUGCUGUGAAAUCCCCGAGGCUCAACCUCGGGCCUGCAGUGGGUACGGGCAGACUAGAGUGCGGUAGGGGAGAAUGGAACUCCUGGUGUAGCGGUGGAAUGCGCAGAUAUCAGGAAGAACACCGAUGGCGAAGGCAGUUCUCUGGGCCGUAACUGACGCUGAGGAGCGAAAGCGUGGGGAGCGAAACAGGAUUAGAUACCCUGGUAGUCCACGCCGUAAACGUUGGGCGCUAGAUGUGGGGACCAUUCCACGGUUUCCGUGUCGCAGCUAACGCAUUAAGCGCCCCGCCUGGGGAGUACGGCCGCAAGGCUAAAACUCAAAUGAAUUG
rnacentral:rRNA from 1 species